UCUCCGUUGGUGAACCAGCGGAGGGAUCAUUACCGAGUUUACAACUCCCAAACCCCUGUGAACAUACCUAUCGUUGCUUCGGCGGGAUCGCCCCGGCGCCCUCGGGCCCGGACCCAGGCGCCCGCCGGAGGACCUAAACUCUUGUCUUUUUUAGUAUUCUUCUGAGUAAACAAGCAAAUAAAUCAAAACUUUCAACAACGGAUCUCUUGGUUCUGGCAUCGAUGAAGAACGCAGC
rnacentral:misc_RNA from 1 species